rnacentral:rRNA from 1 species
CCUACGGGAGGCAGCAGUGAGGAAUAUUGGUCAAUGGACGAGAGUCUGAACCAGCCAAGUAGCGUGAAGGAUGACUGCCCUAUGGGUUGUAAACUUCUUUUAUAUGGGAAUAAAAUGUUCCACGUGUGGGAUUUUGUAUGUACCAUAUGAAUAAGGAUCGGCUAACUCCGUGCCAGCAGCCGCGGUAAUACGGAGGAUCCGAGCGUUAUCCGGAUUUAUUGGGUUUAAGGGGAGCGUAGGUUGAUUGUUAAGUCAGUUGUGAAAGUUUGCGGCUCAACCGUAAAAUUGCAGUUGAAACUGGCAGUCUUGAGUACAGUAGAGGUGGGCGGAAUGCGUGGUGUAGCGGUGAAAUGCUUAGAUAUCACGAAGAACUCCGAUUGCGAAGGCAGUUCACUGGACUGCAACUGACACUGAGGCUCGAAAGUGUGGGUAUCAAACAGGAUUAGAUACCCCAGUAGUC